CACAGCAUUUUAAAUCAUUUAGGAUCAAAUUUUCAAAAAAAGAGGCCUAAGGAAGCAUUGAAAUUCAAUGUUAGUUGGCUGCCUGACUCCCUUAGGCAUAUUUGAAAAUCCCAGCAUAAGUAGUAUAAACACCUGUUAGCUUUUUUCCUAUAACUUCUGGACACUGAGAUUAUACCCAAAGCAUUGACAAGUGACAGUUUUUUUCUAGUGGUUAAAGAACCAGACAGUUAAGAACUGCAAGUAUUAUUUCCAGCUCUGCCAAAGAUUUGAUGUGUGAUCUUCGGCUAUUCACAUCCUCAGUUACAUCCAUUUUGCAGACAGGAGAAAACACCUCUCUCAUAGGGUUAUUGCUCAGAGUCAAAGUUUGCAAACUGCUUAAACACCCUCUGAUGGAAACUGUUACAGGAAUGUAAAAAUAUUUUUCACCCCAAUAGCAUGUGUCAAAAUGCUACUUUCACAUAACAAAAGAUCCAAUAUACGGCCCAUAAUCUGUAUUUGGUUUAAAUCUUUUAGUCACAGAAGCUAACUUUUAGUCUGAGCCAUCUAUGGAAAAGCCCUACAUACACUGAUGACAUAACCGAUCAGGAAUGCUGAUAAUAUGCUCUGUCCAAACCCAACUGAGACUGAUUUCUCUGUGAAGGGGUCUGCAUCAAAGAAAAACAUCUUAGUUGGUUAAAACAAAUCACAUUUAUUCUGCUCAUUUGCAGUCCUCCUAAUCUGCUUCCUAAUUCUCCUUCCGUACUGAGUACAGAUCAGAAUUCUCUUGUAGGUCACUAGGCCAACAGUGUGUUUAGCUCUACUAGUAAGACAUUGUGGUGAGACAGAAAUUUUGGGAACUGGUUUUUCCUCCUCAUGUAACACCCCCCCCCCCAACCUCGUAAGUGUUCUUACUUUACAAAAAAGCAUCUCAAUAUGCAACCUAAUCUUCAAUAUCCUUGAUUUUAAAUGCAUCUGUACAAAUCUGAUCGGGACUGCGCAAGGCUCUCCUGUGAAAUUAUGGGCCUUCAUGGCAAAGCUGCUCAGCAUUGUAAAGUCAAGAGAGGGUCUAAAGUCUUGAAGUUCAGAUCAAGAAUUAAACAAACAAACAGUUUCACUAUUUUUUCAUAAGCGCAAAAUUGAAUUUCUCCAACAGCUUUUCUAACAGAAUAUCACAUUUCAGAAAAAGAUUCUGUUCACCUCUAUGAAAAGCCAUUUAGUACUAAUAUUUGUGGAUUGGUAGCAAGUAGCUGCUACAAACAGGCUAACUAUAAGGACUGCAGAGAGAAUCUUUUUUGCUUUCAUGUACCACAUAUGUUUUUCUUGCUUGUAAAGUCAAACCAAGUUUGCUGUGUAAACAUGAAAGCUUAGCAUCCCAGAAUAUUGAACGUCAAUAAGAUCCAGAUAACGAAGGGAAAUUCUAAACUUGUUGAAAUGGGUAAUCAGUUUAAAAAACAAAUUAUAAGAAGAUACUUUCUAAUUUUUUUUUUUAUUGCUCUGCAGACUUCUGGAACUUUUAUUACUUCUCAGCUCUUAUUCCAUAAAUGAAAUCAUACAUGCUUGAAAAUCUGUCAGACAGACAAGAUGGAUGAUCACCUCCAACUGGUAAAGCUUCUUAUUUCUAGCUUCUACUUCUACCAUUCAAUUUUUAGUAAUAAAAUUGUGACGUGCGGCUCUUAAACAUCAGUGCUCACAGAAGCAUUUUCUUGUGACAAUUUCACUAGGAAAUAGCUUUGCAAGUUUUCAUAUCUGGUACAAUCUGACAGAUGAGAAGAGCCCAAAUCUUUCAUCUGUACAUCUCUGUCUUAGAUAUAGAUUUGUUUCAAUAUUUCAGUCCAAGGAGCAAGGAAGUAAUACUAAUGCAGAUUACAUUUUUAAUUCUCAGAUCACACAGUGCCUGUUUUUUCAGGUACUAACGAAGACCAAAUAUCAAGCCUAGCUAUUAAGAUAAACUAUAUCUGAAACCAUGUCAGAAGAAUUGUGCUACACCGUGUGCAUUUCCCCAACAUAAGCUAGGAAGCCUAGAUAGAAAUUGAAGUAGAACAAUUAUACCCAAGAGAAAUGUAAGUGCACCGUAAAAGCACAAAACUGUGAACUUUGAAAUUAAAAACUCAUUGUAAAAAUAAAAUACUUUGUUGACAGUUUCAGUUUCUUCAGAUCAACCACAUUAGGGUUGUUAAGAUUUCCAUCAGAGAUCAUUCUGGUUCUAGAUUUCUGAGGCUUCUUUAAAACAGAAUAUUCUAAGAAUGUUGAACUCUAGGAUGAAUGAACAUACUAGCUAGAAAUUAAAGAGGCAUGUGAAUUUUUAAAAAUUCUUACCCAAGUUAUAUGAGAGAGAGAGAGAGAGAGAAAGAAAGAACACACUAGGAGGAGGAGGUAGCCUGCUUUGCAUGUACUCUUUGAAGAUAUUGCAAGGAGGGAUUAACAGAGUGACAACGUGUAGAAUACGGAGGCAGAAGGGAACAGAAAAACAACGAAAGGCCCGAUAAAACCUAUUUUCUUGAGUAAGCAUCCAAACUUUUGGAGUUCAUCACUGGUUGUGUGUAUUUCUGAAAAUACUGGAAAUAGGAUUUUACCUGGUUUCACAUAUAUUUUUGCAAAGUUAUGCAGUUGGGUUGAAACACACACCUGAUUAAAUAUGGCAAAGAAUGGGAUUUAGUAAGGUUUUUUUUUUUUGCUCUUAGUUUAGCAGGAUAUUUUAACAACAACCUGAAAACUUUGUUUUGAGGCCCUAAUGAAUUAAAGAAUAUAAAAAUGAAGUUCACUGGAAUGUGUGUGCGCCUGCCUUCCUCCGCACCCUCACCAGUGAUUGGGGAACUGUCCCAGGAUAAAAAAUUUUAAUAUUGGCUACAUUACAUACUCUGCUGAAUAGAAUUUUUAGGUAAGUGAUCUCUAAAUAUUUCUUCAUGACGCAUUUUGGUGGUUCUUUUAAUACUUCUCCCAAAAAGAUUCUGGGUGCAGUCUCUGCCCUAAAGGAAAAAAAGGUUAUGUAUUUAAUUAUCAGCACUCUGUGCUCAUUGGUUAUCUCCUAGCAAUGGAAAAUGUAAAAGAAUCAGCGUAGUUGCCUGACCACCUGUAACCUUUGAUGCAACUGACUAUGAGGUUUUGUUGACUUAGACAGUGAACUGUAGCAGGAGUGGAUGGUAUAGCCGGUCUUGGAAAUCCCAAAUGAUGAUUUUAGGAGUAAUUACUAUUUCACGGGGAGCAUAUAUCACAAGCUCAUCAGCAACUAUUGGCUUUCUAUGUUCCUUUCAGAUGCAGUUAGCGCUGAUCAAUAAAGCUAGCGAGCAAAACAUAUUGGAGUUUAUAGUUCUUUGCUGCUCAGAUAGUCCUGUGGCACCUUAUAGACUAACAGAAGUUUUGGAGCAUGAGCUUUCAUGGGUGAAUACCCACUUCGU